UACGGAGGGAGCAAGCGUUAUCCGGAUUUACUGGGUGUAAAGGGAGCGUAGACGGCUGUGCAAGCCAGAUGUGAAAGCCCGGGGCUCAACCCCGGGACUGCAUUUGGAACUGUGUGGCUGGAGUGUCGGAGAGGCAGGCGGAAUUCCUAGUGUAGCGGUGAAAUGCGUAGAUAUACGGAGGAACACCAGUGGCGAAGGCGGAUUGCUGGACAGUAACUGACGCUGAGGCGCGAAAGCGUGGGGAGCAAACAGG
rnacentral:rRNA from 1 species